AUUAUCUGCCUCUUAGGUGGGGAAUAACUCUGGGAAACCGGAGCUAAUACCGCAUAAGCCUGGAAAGGGAAAGUCGCAAGACGCUGAGAGAGGAGUCCGCGGCCGAUUAGCUAGUUGGCAGGGUAAAAGCCUACCAAGGCUAUGAUCGGUAGCCGGCCUGAGAGGGCACACGGCCACACUGGCACUGAAACACGGGCCAG
rnacentral:rRNA from 1 species